UACGGGGGGGGUAAGCGUUGUUCGGAAUUACUGGGCGUAAAGGGCUCGUAGGCGGCCAACUAAGUCGGAUGUGAAAGCCCCUGGCUCAACUGGGGAAGUGCACCCGAAACUGAGUGGCUUGAGUGCGAAAGAGGGUCGCGGAAUUCCCGGUGUAGAGGUGAAAUUCGUAGAUAUCGGGAGGAACACCGGUGGCGAAGGCGGCGACCUGGGUCGACACUGACGCUGAGGCGCGAAAGCGUGGGGAGCAAACAGG
rnacentral:rRNA from 1 species